AGGUGCUGCGAUGGCUGUCGUCAGCUCGUGUCGUGAGUAGUAGUUCGGGUUAAGUACCCGUAACGAGCGACCUAACCUCGUUCCUUAGUUACCAGCACGUUAGUGUGGGCACUCUAAAGGGACUGCCGGUGUUAAACCGGAGGAAGGUGGGGAUGACGUCAAGUCCUCAUGGCCUUUAUGACCAGGGCUACACACGUACUACAAUGGCCGAUACAAAGGGCAGCGACACUGCGAGGUGAAGCCAAUCCCGUAAAAUCGGUCUCAGUCCGGAUUGGAGUCUGCAACUCGACUCCAUGAAGUUGGAAUCGCUAGUAAUCGUGGAUCAGCAUGCCACGGUGAAUACGUUCCCGGGCCUU
rnacentral:rRNA from 1 species